rnacentral:rRNA from 1 species
CAGCGCCCCAAGUGGGAGCCGUUUUUAUUGGGCCUAAAGCGUCCGUAGCAGGUCGAGCAAAUCUCUCGUGAAAUUGUCCAGCUUAACUGGGCAGCGUGCGGGAGACACUACACGACUAGGGACCGGGAGGAGUGAGAGGUAUUUCGGGGGGAGCGGUAAAAUGCUAUAAUCCUCGAAGGACCACCGAUGGCGAAGGCAUCUCACCAGAACGGAUCCGACUGUGAGGGACGAAAGCUAGGGGAGCGAACCGGAUUAGAUACCCGAGUAGUCC